rnacentral:misc_RNA from 1 species
UUAAGUUCAGCGGGUAUCCCUGCCUGAUCCGAGGUCAACCGGAAAGACGUCAGACGUCGGGGGGUCGGCAGACACAGGCCGGGCCUCCAGAGCGGGUGACAAAGCCCCAUACGCUCGAGGACCGGGCACGGCGCCGCCACUGCCUUUCGGGCCCGUCUCCGGAGGGAGACGAGACCCAACACACAAGCCGCGCUUGAGGG